AACCAUAGAAACCUGCGGAGUACCUGCGGAAGGAUCAUUACCACGCGAUCCAAAACGCUCACUCAAUUUGUUUUAUGAAGUUGAGAGCCGGGGCAACCCGACUCUACCAGUGCUUUGCUUCACCGCAUUGCACUCACCUUUAUACAAACUAAACCCAUCGGAAACAACACCGUUUCGGCAAGCCAUUUGUUUGUGUCAUUCAUUUGAGCGAACAAAGUUAUAUCACAAUGCUAUACAACU
rnacentral:misc_RNA from 1 species